AUGAAUGUUGAUGCUGCGUUAUCUCGCAAUGGUGAAAGGGGAGCCCUGGAAGUUGUGAGCCGGGAUCAUACAGGCUUCUUCCUUGGAGCAUCGGCACUGGUGUGCGAAAGUGUUACUGAUCCAGAGAUCCUAGAGGCAAUGGCAUGUUGCGAGGGGCUAUCUCUGGCUCUUGACUUAAACCUGCAACAAGUUCAGAUUAGCAUCGAUUGUUCAGCAACAGUCAAGCAUAUCGGAGAGGCAUACUUGGGGCCCAACAGUUAUUAUGGACGAGAUCAAGAUGAAGAAGAAUGUGUUCCAAACCAUGGAGAUCAUACAUUAAAAACGCGAGUGUAA
rnacentral:rRNA from 1 species